AUGGAGGAGAGACCGCCCAGCCGCCCCAGGGUGGCCUGGGAGGAGAGAGGGGCUCCCCAGGAGAGAAGACCUCCACCGGAGCCCUACGAGGUGACCGAGGUGCAGCCACUGCAUGCCGAUGCUGACUGGCUGCCUGCGAAUGAAGAGGAGGAAAAUGAGGAGGAGGAGAAUGAGGAGGAGGACAAAGAAAUCAUCGAGGACUUCCUCAGGAGAACAGAUGAGGAGAUGCGAAAGGUGACAUUCCUGAAGAGCAUCUGCACCAUUUGCAGAAAGCGCAAAAAGAGGGGCUUGAGUGAGAGCCUGGCUGUUCUCUCCCGUGAAAAAAACGUGGUAGCAAAAGUCAAGAAGCUGCUGGAAAAUGAGCCCACGGACCAGCUGUGCACAGCAGUGCGCUACCAAGCCAUGCUUGCGAUCGCCGCCUUGAGCGAAGUGAGAGCAAUUGCGGAGGAUGAAAUAAGACCGCUUUUAAAUGCGUGCUUCAAAGCCAUCUUCCACCUUCCUCCAAGAGAGAACUUGAACAUUUUCCUCUAUGAUCAAACCCUGCAUGCAAUGGACAACAUGCUGCAGAUGUUGCUGGUCAGCCAUCGCACCUCCUUCAGUGAGGAGCCGUGGAAUAUCUUGGAGGUGCUGCUACGCUUCACCAGCACCCAGAACAAAAGUGUGUGUGAGAGGGCCAUGGAACGGAUCUCAAAGCUUAUCAGUUUCAUCACCAGCAGUCACUGGCAGGAGGUAAGGAGCCAGGAAGUUCCCAGACAGCCUUUCUCCCCUUCCCUGCAUCCCAGAGCAGCCUACAGCUCAGGGGUACCUGUAAGACAAGCUUGAGC
rnacentral:lncRNA from 1 species